rnacentral:piRNA from 1 species
ACCACACAGCAGAACAACUUCAAAGGGAGC